GCUGUUGAAGCCAAUCAGUUCCUGGACUGCAGAGCAGCCCUUAGUCAGGAUAUUAAAAUGGUACCCCUGUGACUCCUCGUUGCCUCACUAGAGAUGCAUAAUAUUCUUAGCUAACAGAAGGAGGAAACAUGUCAGCUAAACAAAGGGGAUAAAUAUGGCCUUUUGAAGAGCAGCCAUGGCAGAGUGCUAUAUAGGACUAUGGAGAAUUAUCAACAGGCUUUUGCUUUAGCAAAUGUCAUGCUACCAGAAGAAUGGUGCAGUUUGCGGUGGCAUCCAGCCAGUACCCUCUCAUGAGGAAGAAUCAAUUUGCAAGGUAUUGAGUAAAGCCGCGGGCUCUGCCUUGGAGAGGUGACCACCCAUGAAAACAACUGACAUGAAAAGACCGCAAGGUAUGACAGUGAAUACUUAUUAAAAGCGUACCUUUGCUGCAAAUGAGCACGUGGAAACACUUUGGCAACAGGGACAGUUAUAAAGCCUCUGAAAUUAAGUUUGGUAGAAG
rnacentral:lncRNA from 1 species